rnacentral:rRNA from 1 species
GACGAACGCUGGCGGCGUGCUUAACACAUGCAAGUCGAACGGAAAGGCCCUGCUUUUGUGGGGUGCUCGAGUGGCGAACGGGUGAGUAACACGUGGGUAACCUGCCCUUGACUUUGGGAUAACUUCAGGAAACUGGGGCUAAUACCGGAUAGGAGCUCCUGCUGCAUGGUGGGGGUUGGAAAGUUUCGGCGGUUGGGGAUGGACUCGCGGCUUAUCAGCUUGUUGGUGGGGUAGUGGCUUACCAAGGCUUUGACGGGUAGCCGGCCUGAGAGGGUGACCGGCCACAUUGGGACGGAGAUACGGCCCAGACGCCUACGGGAGGCAGCAGUGGGAAAUAUUGCACAAUGGGCGGAAGCCGGAUGCAGCAACGCCGCGUGCGGGAUGACGGCCUUCGGGUUGUAAACCGCUUUCGCCUGUGACGAAGCGUGAGGGACGGUAAUGGGUAAAGAAGCACCGGCAAACUACGG